rnacentral:tRNA from 1 species
GGAGGUGUAGUUCAGUGGUAGAGUGCAUGCCUAGUAUGCAUGCAGUACUGGGUUUAAUUCCCAGUGUCACAA